rnacentral:rRNA from 1 species
GAUGAACGCUGGCGGCGUGCCUAAUACAUGCAAGUCGAGCGAAUGGAUUAAGAGCUUGCUCUUAUGAAGUUAGCGGCGGACGGGUGAGUAACACGUGGGCAACCUGCCCAUAAGACUGGGAUAACUCCGGGAAACCGGGGCUAAUACCGGAUAACAUUUUGAACCGCAUGGUUCGAAAUUGAAAGGCGGCUUCGGCUGUCACUUAUGGAUGGACCCGCGUCGCAUUAGCUAGUUGGUGAGGUAACGGCUCACCAAGGCAACGAUGCGUAGCCGACCUGAGAGGGAGAUCGGCCAAACUGGGACUGAGACACGGCCCAGACUCCUACGGGAGGCAGCAGUAGGGAAUCUUCCGCAAUGGACGAAAGUCUGACGGAGCAACGCCGUGUGAGUGAUGAAGGCCUUCGGGUCGUAAAACUCUGUUGUUAGGGAAGAACAAGUGCUAGUUGAAUAAGCUGGCACCUUGACGGUACCUAACCAGAAAGCCACGGCUAACUACGUGCCAGCAGCCGCCGUAA